AGCGAACGCUGGCGGCAGGCCUAACACAUGCAAGUCGAACGAAGUCUUCGGACUUAGUGGCGGACGGGUGAGUAACACGUGGGAACGUGCCUUUAGGUUCGGAAUAACUCAGGGAAACUUGUGCUAAUACCGAAUGUGCCCUUCGGGGGAAAGAUUUAUCGCCUUUAGAGCGGCCCGCGUCUGAUUAGCUGGUUGGUGAGGUAACGGCUCACCAAGGCGACGCUAAUUAGCUGGUCUGAGAGGAUGAUCAGCCACAUUGGAACUGAGACUCGGCCCAAACUCCUACGGGAGGUAGCAUUGGGGAAUCUUGCACAAUUGGCGAAAGCCUCACGCACCCAUGCCGCGUAAAUGAUGAAGGUCUUAGGAUUGUAAAAUUCUUUCACCGUGGGCGAUGAUGACGGUACCCGGAGAAGAAGCGCUGGCUAACUUCGUGCCAGCCGCCGCCGUAACAC
rnacentral:rRNA from 1 species